GACGAACGCUGGCGGCGUGCCUAAUACAUGCAAGUAGAACGCACAGUUUAUACCGUAGCUUGCUACACCAUAGACUGUGAGUUGCGAACGGGUGAGUAACGCGUAGGUAACCUGCCUGGUAGCGGGGGAUAACUAUUGGAAACGAUAGCUAAUACCGCAUAAUAUUGAUUAUUGCAUGAUAAUUAAUUGAAAGGUGCAAUUGCACCACUACCAGAUGGACCUGCGUUGUAUUAGCUAGUAGGUGAGGUAACGGCUCACCUAGGCGACGAUACAUAGCCGACCUGAGAGGGUGAUCGGCCACACUGGGACUGAGACACGGCCCAGACUCCUACGGGAGGCAGCAGUAGGGAAUCUUCGGCAAUGGACGAAAGUCUGACCGAGCAACGCCGCGUGAGUGAAGAAGGUUUUCGGAUCGUAAAGCUCGGUUGUAAGAGAAGAACGGGUGUGAGAGUGGAAAGUUCACACUGUGACGGUAUCUGACCAGAAAGGGACGGCUAACUACGUG
rnacentral:rRNA from 1 species